AAUGGUCGGAAUGGAAUUUGUGGAUAAGUUUGAUUACAUUGUCCGGGACAGUCGAGCUUGUGGCUUAGGAUGCAGCUUUGAUUCCCUAGGUUGAUGGAGACAAUGGAGUUUUGGGUGAUGA